rnacentral:rRNA from 1 species
CUUUACUGUAGCUUGGAAUUGGGUUCGGGCUUUGCUUGCGCAGGAUAGGUGGGAGACUAUGAAGUUGCUCUUGUGGGAGUAAUGGAGUCAACGGUGAGAUACCACUCUGGUGAGGCUAGAAUUCUAACUUGUUCCCGUCAUCCGGAAGAAGGACAAUUUCAGGUGGGCAGUUUGACUGGGGCGGUCGCCUCCUAAAAGGUAACGGAGGCGCGCAAAGGUUUCCUCAGGCUGGUUGGAAAUCAGCCGAAGAGUGUAAAAGCACAAGAGAGCUUGACUGUGAGACUAACACGUCGAACAGGGACGAAAGUCGGCCUUAGUGAUCCGACGGUAUGCGCGUGGAAGUGCCGUCGCUCAACGGAUAAAAGUUA